GCUGGGUAUGUCAGCAGCCUGGGCUCUGGCAGGCAGGACGGCCGCCAGAGGGGCUGGCGGCUGGCUGGGGAGCCCAGAGGAGGCUCCGAUUCCCUUCCUGAAUAUUCAUGGAUCAGCAGAUGUCUGGCUUCCCCACCUCUGAGGAGCUCAGCAAGGCAGGAACAGGGAAAGCAACAGGAACGUAGACACAGAGAGAAGACGGGGUCCCCCUCAGAGAGCAGCAGUGCUGUGCCAGGAGCCCAAGACAGCCCAUUUUAGUGGAAACGUCUGUGAAGCCUGAGAAUCCUCAUUCCACAGAUGGGGAAACUGAGGCCUGGGGAGGGGUCUCAUCUCUGUGGAAGACAGUCUGGGAAAACUGCCCUUCUUUGACUUUUUGGGGAUGAACCAGCAUUGAGGAGACAACUGCUCCUGAAUAAGAGGGUUCUCUCUGCCUCUGUGCUCAACCUGAUUUCUGUGCCCAGGAAGCGCAUCCUUAGGGACUCACGUGCCAGCCCUUCUGUGAGGCUGCUCCUACCUUCCCCAGGAUAAACUGGAUUUUAUGAGGCCAAUUAGAACCCAGACAGAAAGGAGAUUCGCUGCUGAGCUCCAGGGCCAGCUCAAUGCUGUUUCGUGGGAUUAGUGGAGGCCUGGCGUGAGUUCCAUUUUUCAGUGAAUUCUUAGGGAAGGGGCGUGUAGCUGGGGGAGGGGAACAACGAGGCCAAGAUGGCUCCUUUAUUAAGCCAGGAACUUGCCACAAACAUCACAUCAGUGCCUCCUCACUUCUGAAUUUCAGGGCCCAACAGAUUUACUACUUGUUUGCAGCCCAGGAGAAAUUCUCCACGACACCAUCACCAUUCUCCUUUCCCAGAGAACACAAGUCGGUUCCUUCCAGAAACCUUCCUUCCUGCCCCCAACCUUGGCCACCUCCCUUACCACAUGCUGAGCCCCUCCCCCCAACAGCUGGAAGGAGAGUUGGGACAGUUGCCUGGGACACAAGGAAGGCCUCAGCUCUCCCUUCAUCUGCAAUCCUGAGGGGAGAGUCUCAGCCUCAGCCUAUCCAACAGCAAAGCCAGGCUCAGCUUGACCUGCCUAUCUCCCGCUCCCCUGAGACCCUCUACCCCUCCACACACAGCAAACCAUGGCCAAUUCUCUGAAAACACAUCUUGUUCCACGCAUUGCUGGUGCUGCUCUCACUCCCUAGAACAGCUGUGAUGUCCCUGGUUGAUUUAGACACCUCUCCUUUUUCUGCCCCGUAGAACGCUGGCACCCCCAUCAUCGCAGUUAUCACUCCAGAUUUUUUUUGCGGGGGGAGACGGAGUCUCACUCUGUCACCCAGGUUGGAGUGCAGUGGCAUGAUCUCGGCUCACUGCAACCUCUGCCACCCAGGUUCAAGUGAUUCUCCUGCUUCAGCCUCUUAAGUAGCUGGGACUACAGGUGUGCGCCACCAUGCCUGGCUAGUUUUUGUAUUUUUUGGUAGGACGGGAUUUCACCAUGUUGGUCAGGGUGGUCUCGAACUCCUGACCUCAAGUGAUCCGCCCACCUUGGCCUCCCAAAGUGCUGGGAUUACAGGAGUGAGCCACCAUGCCCAGCCUUCACUCUAGGUUUUUGACUUGCCUUUCUCCUCAACUAGGCACCAAAGUCUUGGGGUUAUGUCUUAGCUUUCUAAAUCCUCGGUACCUGGAACAGUGCCUAACACACAGUAGGUGCUCAAUAAACAUUUCUUGAAUGGAUGAGUGAACCCAUGAAGACAUCCUCAAAAAGAUAAGGCAUAGAGCCCCCUAUGCUUUUCCAAGCAUCAGUUUCCUUAUCUGUAAAAACAACAGUAACUCCCUUCAGGGCAAGAAAGGAUGUCAGGAAGACAUGUGGAAACUGCCUAGCACACUGCGUGGCACCCAGUAGACAUGACAUGCUUGAAAAGCAGAGAUAGAACAGCUGAAGUCCACACUGAAAGAAACCCUGUACUUAAACAUGACCAGGCUGGGGAGAUCACUACCUUGCCUGUUCUCUUGCUGUAUGGCUCAUAUGGUUAAAAAAUUUAUUUCUCUUGUGCCCACCUGUCUCUCCCAGUACUUUCUGCUCACUGGCCAGAGCUUUGUCCUGCAAACUAUCUAACAAGGUCAUAAGUCCCUUAUAGAACCAUCCAGGAGUCUUGGGUCUGCACCUGAAGGACAGCUUAUUGGUCCUUGCUUCCCUGAUCCCAAGGACCCCAUGGGCCCCCAAAUCCAAAGGAUACCUCACUCAGCCUCAGCAGUGAGGCAGUAGUAGCUGGCAGCCCAGUUGGCACAGGUAACAGGGUUUGAUUUCUCUGCAUGUCAGGCUCCAAAACAUACUCUCUGGUUUUCCUUCCCUGGCCCCCUAGCUCCUGUCACCCACCUCUGACCAGGCUGGGGUCCUCUCCCUCAGAGCCAUGCUUACUCCUCCCCCUGCCCCCAAGCCUGCCUGGUAAUGACAUCUGCUCUGCAUCUGGAAUUCCGUAUCAAGUCUGGUUGCUGUACCAUGGGAGAGAAUAGAAAGAGGUGGGGGGGGUUAAGUGGAGGAGGGUGGAUUCCAGAGCCCAGAUAGACCCACUUGAGAGGGAGAGCAUGAAGCUGAUAACGUCUCAGAAGGUAUAGAGGAGUGCAAAGAGAGUGAACUUGGGUAUCCCUAGAAAGGGUGGCCCCAUUUCAGUCCCUAAUCAUGUAACUUUGGGAAGUCACUCAGUUUUCUCAUCUGUAAAAACAGGUUCAUGCUAAAAUUGUUUCUUCUUUUCUUUCUCUUUCUUCUUUUGAGACAGAGUCUCACUCUGUUGCCCAGGGUGGAGAACAGUGGUGCGAGCCAUCAUAGCUUACCACAGUCUUGAACUCCUGGGCUCAAGCAAUCCUCCCACUUCGGCCUCCUGAGCAGCAAGGACAACAGGGAACACCACCAUGACCGCCAUGCUUUUUUUUUUUUUUUUUUUAAUUUUUCGUAGAAAUGAGGUCUCAAUAUGUUGCCCAGUCUGGUCUCAAACUCAGCUCAAGCGAUCCUCCUGCCUCAGCCACACAAAGUGCUGGGAUUACAGGUAUGAGCCUGGCCUGAAAUUAUUUCUAAGUUCCUCUCAGUGCUGACAUUCAAUGAUGCGCUAAUUGUGAAAUUGCUUCACUUGAAAGAGAUAUGUUUAGGAGAAAAGAAAUGCUAAUUAACAUGUAAAUGUGUGUUUAAUUGAGUCAUGAAAGCACAUAGAGGAUCAAUGAAGGUUUAGGUAUCUUCUGGAUAAGAUUCAUUAUUAAAAGAAACUCCAACUGUU